rnacentral:rRNA from 1 species
CAGCCGCCGCGGUAAUACGGAGGGUGCAAGCGUUAUCCGGAUUUAUUGGGUUUAAAGGGUCCGUAGGCGGACUUAUAAGUCAGUGGUGAAAGCCUGUCGCUUAACGAUAGAACUGCCAUUGAUACUGUAAGUCUUGAGUAUAUUUGAGGUAGCUGGAAUAAGUAGUGUAGCGGUGAAAUGCAUAGAUAUUACUUAGAACACCAAUUGCGAAGGCAGGUUACCAAGAUAUAACUGACGCUGAGGGACGAAAGCGUGGGUAGCGAACAGGAUUAGAUACCCCGGUAGUCCCUGUCUCUUAUAC